CAGUGAGUAGCAAGUAGGUGGAAAAGGAUCGGCUCAUGACAGUAAUGGAAUUCCAUGCUGCUGUUCAGUGAGAUUUGUCUUUGAGAGAUCUUUCACAGAAAUACAAUGACCAAAACAGUACACCACUUCAAAUGAUGUGUUGCUGGUACCUAAUAGAGGAUCAGGCUGUUUAAUGGGUUUUGUAUCCCAUUUUAUUCAUGUGUCAAGGCAUAAAAUGGGAAAGAGAAGAAAUGGGCUAUGUACAUAUGCCAGAAGAGAGGAGACCUGUUUUCUGCUUCUGGGACAGUUAAUGAGUUUUACAAAGUGAAGUGUAGCAUUAAAUACAAUGUGAGUUUGGGAAUUAGAAGACAUGAUAUUUUUCAAAGACCUCAGAAACCAUUGUGACAACCAUAAGCUGAUUUAA